AUGGCGAAGUGUUUCAGGCAGCACUCAGAGAACUAAUCGAUAGGACUCGGUCCACCAUCCAAAGCAGAAGGUGGCAGUAGUGCACCGUAAAUGUUGUUGCCACUUGCGGUUAAAAAGCAAUAGAAGAAGAAAGUAGGAAGUAGAAAGAUAUUCACAUGGCAGUAGCUUAAUCAAAGAAGUGUGUUCCCCUACGCAGAUAUGUUUCACUGCACCUGUUUCGGUGCAUUCAUCUCAGUGAACUCAUACACACAGACGUAGAAAAAACAGACAGUACAAAUGAUGAUGUUUGGAGUGAUGCAUGAAGUUCAAGGUUGAAGUUCAUGUGUGUUGAAUUCCCCAGAGUGAGGCAUCACUCCUGCCAGGGCUGGGGGUUUAAAUCCCCCUGAGCAAGGCACUAACAGCUGGGGUUAGAGGUGAGACAAGGCCAGUGUUUAAAGGGUAAUUUAAACUUAUCGGUUCAGGCACAACUACUACAAAUAUUUAUCAACUGGGCCAACUUUGAGUAAAAUGACAUGCAGUUCUUUGUUGUAUUUCUUUAGUUUUCAGUCUGAUUUUCUCUUUUGUCAAAGGUCAGAAGUCAGGAGCAUCACUACUCCCAGAUGUCCAGCCUACCUGACACAGGAGCUCCAUGAAGUUUCCUCAGAUGCUGUUUUGGGAGCUCCGUCCCGUCAGCUCCGUGACAUGGAAGCGACGGUGACACCGGAGAUGACGGACGUCUUUUUGUCUCCCGCAGUCAGGACGCCGCGCCGGGCCCGCGGAUGACUGUAAUCGCUCGGACAGGUGACACAUCUGUGGAAACCAGAAGAUGAUGGGGCAGACGACUCAAAUCAUGUGACCUGCACCUCACAUGCCUCCUCCUGUACAGUGUCAGAGGGUGAGGGGAAUGUUCUGGAAGAUUCACAUCCAAAAGUGACCAGGGUUGAAGCGGUCCUGCUGUUAAGACGUCCUGCAGUGUUUCCUGGUGCUGCUCCGCCAUCUAGUGGCUGCUGACAGGAAGUGACAACAUGAGGUGAAUAUCCAGUUUCCUGGUGCUGCUCCGCCCUCUAGUGGCUGCUGACAGGAAGUGACAUCACGAGGUUU